ensembl:lncRNA
UUUUUAGUGAUUACCAAUUCACUUAUCUGGAUUCAGAAUGUGUGGGAAAAACUGCUUUUCCUGCACUUCUGUGUCUCAAAAGGCUCAAAUUCUUGUUGGUGAGGAAAGCUCCAGCUCUUGUUUUGCUCUUCCGAGAUGACCAGAUGGAGAUUCUCACCGAAUCCUGCACCGGGGGCAGAGCAACUCCUCGACUGCAGGCUGGGGGCAGCACGGCAGCAAAGAACUUGUCUGUCCUGAUGGGUACAUCGCAUACGGCACAAAACUCUGUUGGGCGGCGUUAGCAAGAGCAGAGCCAGCGUGAUUCCCGUAGUGGUGCAUGAGAUGCAGAUGCUGCUGCUACACACAGAGGCUUGGUUGUCCUGAGGAUCACACAGUGCAGGGAGGUGCUGCUAACACAAGCCUGGCCCUCCCCAUUUUACAGAUAGGGUAUGUCUGUGGCCUUCUGUCACAAGCACGAGUAUUUUAGGAUUGUACUUCUGAGUCUUUGCGUACACUGCUUUUGAAGACUGAAGAACUUAUAGUACCAUUGAAACUCUUUGACCUGUUCCAUUCUUCUGCCGUUCUACACACUGCCUACUGAUAACCCUUAGAAAUGAGGAACUGGUAAAAGGAUGUGUGGUCUGAAUGUCCACUCUUGCAUCCUGUUUACUUUGCAACAACUACUUGUAUGAUGAAACUUACUCAUAUCCUUAGUGUUUUGAUGGGUUGUGGCCAUAGAGUGCAGAGUAUAUGUUUAUUAAACUAUAGAAAUAGUUAAAUUUUCAAACAAGUAACUUACAUACAUGAAAGUGCAUUAACUUUUUAAUCUCAGUCCCAGUGAGUUUCAUUUCAGAAGUUCGAUUCUCCCACGCUUUCUUGCACUGAGUAAUAUCUUGCUAAAUGAGUAAUCUAAUUCUUCUUAUGUCUCUUUCCAUAAUACCAACAUCAUUAUUUACUGUCACAAACUAGAUUGGAAAAUAGCUUUGAACCUAGUGAAAAAUAAAGUUAGAAACCUGGGCUGGUCUUCUGGAGGAGUGCUGUUUGGAGGCACAUUAUUGUGGUAUGGUAAAAAAAAAUAGAGCCGAGAGUAUAUUCAGUGUGCAAAUGUUCAUGGACUUCUCACAGAUGUUAAAGAGUCAGCUCCAGCACUUUCUUCAUAAUAUUCCAUAUUCAGCCAAGUUAAUUAAACUCAGGGUUGCUCUACAAGUCUUCACUUCUCUGAGAAUGAGAGAACUUGGUCUUGGUUAAAUGUAGUUUCAUGUGUUACUACUUACAGAGGGAGUUUUAGAUAGCUGCUCUCGGUAAGAUUUUGACAAGAAUGCAGGACCUUUGUAAUGCAGUAAUUGCCUGGAGUAAGGAAAUUCCAUAGGAAAAUGCUUCAUUCAUGUGAGUUCAUAUCAGCACUACUCAACGCAAGCAUCUGUAAGUCCAGAAAAUGUCUUUGAAAUCUUCCUGCAUUAGUUUGGGCCUCGCCCAUCCAAUGAGUGCACUGUCUUAAUGAGACCAAGAACAGGAAUCUAUUGUAAAGCGAAUGAUCGGGACUUUAAUUAUUUACAGUCACAAGUCACCCACAGUGUUUAUUCCAUGCACGUUCAUAGUAUUGAGUCUGCGUUGUUUCAGAUCUCCUACUGACGUUGCCCCUUCUGUGCUGGUACUACUGAUGUGGAUACAGCAGUGACUUGUGCACUUAUGUCCACCUUCAUGCUAACAGAUCUUCCAUUUGCUGCUGUAGUUCUGUCUGUCUCUCCUGAAGAGGUCAGCUGAGCUCAUGAUGCUAUCCCUUCCUUGCUGAUGGUGUUUGUAAUCUAUUGUAAAAUGAUGUAAUUUCUGUUUCUUUCAUCUGUUCCUUAGUUCCAGGUAUUGUCUCCAGUGGGGCUUUACAGUGCAAACAGAACUUAUAUGCAGAAGGUGUGACUUUGGACUUCAUCUGAAGCUUCCAUAGUGUUAAUUUCACAGGUACUGUCUUCUGCCCAAGUCAAAUGAUAACUUUCAUAAUGAGUGCUUCAGAAAUGAGACCACCUCUUAAUGUUCAUAGUGGCAUACAUCACUUGCACAUGGAAACUAGUUCUAACUUCAACAUUUGUUCUCUGUAUUUUCUUGAGAAUGUCAGUUCUUGCAAGGCUUUUAACUUUAUUCCUCCGCUCCGAAUAUUUUCAUAGUUUGCUUAACUCAUGCUACCAUCUGUUGUUCAGUAACUGCUCGGAGCCAAGAGGGCUGAUGGAGAUCUGAGUUCUCUUAGAUCAGCACUUGGCACUGUGGGUUUUUUCACAACCCAACAAGCAGUUCCAACAGCUGCAUGUAUGAAUCACUGAAGUUAUAGUACCCUGCAGCACACUGUAAGAAUGGGUUUUGGCAAUCUGGU